rnacentral:rRNA from 1 species
AUACGUAGGGGGCGAGCGUUAUCCGGAUUUACUGGGCGUAAAGCGCGCGUAGGCGGUAUUUUAAGUCAGAUGUUAAAGGCUGCGGCUCAACCGCAGUUCGCAUUUGAAACUGAAGUACUAGAGAUCAGGAGAGGAAAGCGGAACUCAUAGUGUAGCGGUGAAAUGCGUAGAUAUUAUGAGGAACACCAGUUGCGAAGGCGGCUUUCUGGACUGAAUCUGACGCUGAGGCGCGAAAGCGUGGGGAGCAAACCGGAUUAGAAACCCCAGUAGUCC